ACGGAGGAUCCAAGCGUUAUCCGGAUUUAUUGGGUUUAAAGGGUGCGCAGGCGGAUUGAUAAGUCAGAGGUGAAAGCCCACAGCUCAACUGUGGAACUGACUUUGAUACUGUCAAUCUUGAGUACAUUUGAAGUGGGCGGAAUGUGUUGUGUAGCGGUGAAAUGCUUAGAUAUUACGCGGAACACCGAUGGCGAAGGCAGCUUACUGAGCUGUAACUGACGCUGAGGCACGAAAGCGUGGGGAUCAAACAG
rnacentral:rRNA from 1 species